rnacentral:rRNA from 1 species
UACGUAGGGUGCGAGCGUUGUCCGGAAUUAUUGGGCGUAAAGGGCUCGUAGGCGGUUUGUCGCGUCGGGAGUGAAAACCAGGUGCUUAACACCUGGCUUGCUUUCGAUACGGGCAGACUAGAGGCAUGCAGGGGAGAACGGAAUUCCUGGUGUAGCGGUGAAAUGCGCAGAUAUCAGGAGGAACACCAGUGGCGAAGGCGGCUUCCUGGACCGGUUCUGACACUGAGGAGCGAAAGCGUGGGGAGCGAUCCGG